AGCUAACCUACACUUAGGUCAAGGAUAACCUCGGGAAACUGAGGAUAAAACUUGAUAGGAGAUUUACCCUGGAAUGAUUUAUCUCCGAAACUCGUGCCUAAGUAUGGGGCUGCGGUGGAUUAGGUUGUUGGCGGGGUAAUAGCCCACCAAGCCGAUGAUCCAUAAGGGCUCUUAGCGGAGAGGCCCUGAGAGGGAGUCUGAGACACUACUCCCAGCCCUACGGGGUGCAGCAGUUAGGAAUAAUCUGCAAUGCGCGAAAGCGUGACAGUUUGAGCCAGAGUGCUUUCCAUUCGGAAAGCUUUUGCUUAGUGUAAAAAACUAGGCGAAUAAGGACUGGGUAAGACGGGUGCCAGCCGCCGCGGUAAUACCCGCGGUCCAAGUCGCAGCCAUCAUUAUUGGGUCUAAAACAUCCGUAGCUUGCUUUGUAUGUCUCCUGUGAAAUCCGGCAUCUCAAGUGUCGGGCGAGCAGGGGGUACUGCUUAGCUAGAGACUGGAAGACGUAACGAGUACGUUCAGAGUAGUGGUAAAAUACGUUAAUCCUGGACGGACUAACAAGAGCGAAGGCACGUUACGAGGACAGUUCUGACAGUAAGGGAUGAAGGCUAGGGGCGCAAAACGGAUUAGAUACCCGUGUAGUCCUAGCAGUAAACACUGUACACUAAACAUUAGUACCUCCUCGAGAGGUAUUGGUGCUGAAGCGAAGGCGAAGAGUGUACUACCUGGGAAGUAUAGUCGCAAGGCCGAAACUUAA
rnacentral:rRNA from 1 species